UUGGCGCGGUCGAGCAAGAGCGUCGGGAGUUCGAUCCUAAAAGCGGUGGCGAGCAAGUGGGCUGGCAAGCGAGAGCGGGGUGCUUGGCCCUGGCAGCGAGAUUGUGGCACAGAAACGCGUUCGCCUCGAAGGAACGCUGUCGUUCGUUACGUCUCGUCUUGUGCGUCCCUUGCGUUAUUACACGUACAUAGAAGGUAGAAAAUGUUGUCCAGACGGAAUAUAUCUACGAUGAAAAAAAAGAAAAAGAACAAGAAAUGCGUACGCGGUAAACGUACGUAACAACGACCACGAUGAGAAUGAUGAAAUCCAGUGGCGGGAGAACGAAGAAUACUACAACGACAAGGAUGACAACGACGACCACGAUGACGACAACGCAACGACAACGAUGAGGACGGUCGCAAUGGCGGUGGCGGUGACGGCGAAACGCGACGCGGCCCGGACUCGCGGACCCUCACAUCCUGUCUAUGACAGGAUGGCUGAUGGCUGGUUGGCUGGCUGGCCAGUCUGUCGGUCGGCUUGGCAGGGCCCUACCCACGGUACAUGUGCCAGUGCCCUGUUCGUGCCGCCGCGUAUACGCACCCUCCUCGCUUCGCCUCUGUCUCUCGUGCUCCCUUUACGCUUAUUCCUGCACGUCUCACGGAGGCCUGUUACUCUUUCUCUCGGUAAAGUCGAAGAACCUCGAUCAGAGGCAUUUUUUCUUUACUGGCACAGCCGGCCACCGUCGCAGUCACCGCCACCAUUGCCGACGCCACGCCACGGUAUCGAAUCGUCUCGCCACGGGGUACGUAUGGACGGAGAACGCGAAACGGAGAAAAAAAAAGAUAAAAAGAACGAGCGGUGAAACGACUAGAAGCGGGACGAAGAUCGCGAGACAUGCGGGGAAUCGAGUUAAAGGGAGUAAGAGAGAAAGAGUAAGAGAGGGAGUGAAGUGGAGAGAGCGAAAGAGAGAGAAGGGUAGAAUAAGGUGGGGCGGCGCUUUCCAAUCGCGAAGCGAGGCUCCUCGCGUUCCGACGACGAUCGAAAAAGGUGAGACGUGCCGAAGGGGAUAUAGGCGCGGACAAUGAAGCGGAUGAGAGCGACGCAGACCGAGCCACUAAAGUCUGACGGAGCAUGAGCUAAUGGGAAAAAGAAAGAUGAAUAGAGCGCGACCGACCAGAGUGUCAGAGGCAGAAGGAAACACUAGGGCGGGAAAGAGAGGGAACAAGGCGAGAACGUGACGAGACGACGGAGGGAAUCGAGGGGAUCGCGGACGGUCGAGCGACGACGAUUUGGCAACGGCUUUUAUGGCUUUCGUUGCGAUCGGCUGGAAACGACACUGCACACUACGCUGCUGGCGGACGUUGAUGCCUCUCUUCGUGUCGAUAGUACGCGUCUGGUGUACGUAUUUCGGAAAUGAGGCCGGUGCGUAUUCUGAAAACGAAGAAAACGCCGCAUACGAUAGACGGAGAGGGGAUGCAAACGCUCUUUUGGCCGCGCGACGUUAUACCAGUCGCUAAUGUCGGUAUUAGGGUCAAUAGUACUAGCAGACACAAAUUAAGUCCUGCUCGCGACAGCGUCGCCGAACGUUUAUCGCGACUGUUUGACUAAGAAUAAUGAUUUGAUUACGUAAAUCAUGUUAACGUAAUCCAUUGAUAUAUUUCUUUUUUGUCUUAAUUUCUUUUUAACAAAAUAUUUUUCGAUUCGUCGUAUUUAAUUUUCACGUUUUCGCGUGAAUUCUUAUUUCAUGUAUUUAUAGCGAUAUCAGAAUUCGAGGAAAGAAAUUGCGAGAAAGCUAUGUUAGAAAAAUAUGUUAUUCUUUUUUUAACACAGAAUGGGUGACGUAAGAGAAAAAUCGAAAGAAUCGGCAGCAUGAUGUCGAACGAGAGAGCGGAGAACACAUCCGGUUGUCUCGGAUUGACCGGGAUCGGUCGCGGUAAAGGAAAUCUGAACCCUUGAGAACGAAGACGAGAGCGAGAGCGCUGUGAGGGCCUAUAUUCACAGACGUACCUGCGGGAAACUGUAACUACCGGCAGACUGGAAGUAUUAUGAGAGAAGGGUGGGAAGGUGGGGAGAAGCUGGAGUGCAAGAGAGAAAGUGGGAGGCAGAGAGAGAAAGAGGAAGCAGGACGGGAGGAGGGAGAGAGAAUAAACUGGGUCAGUGUCGCGGAACUUGAAAACUUCGCUUCCGUAAUGUGAGAGCGGCGCUGACUGCCGCCUGGAAGUCGCUUAAACUGCGUUUACGAGUCGGCGGUAGGUAAAACAGAAACACCUCGAGAACUCAAGUCGAGUUAUACCUAGUUAUGUAUAUAGUUGUCUAUAUGAAAGCAGUAUACGUAUCUGCUACGUGGUGUGUGUGUGUAUAUAUAUAUAUAUAUGCAUGUAUGUAUGUAUGUAUGUAUGUGUAUAUAUAUAUAUAUAUAUACCGUGUACGAAACCAGGAAAGAGACAGAGCGAGAAAGCGAAUCAGAGAAAGAGGAAAAAGGAGAGAAUCGAGUCAGUGGAAGACAUGUACGAAUGUACAAACUAAAACCCGCCUUUCCCCGCGCACAAUCGAGGAGUCUCGUUUGUUAUACCGGCAUUUCCACUGGCGUGCUUCAUUGUACACAAGUUUUCUCCCCACGUGCGCGCUGUAUUAUAUCGCGAACGUUUCCCGCCACGAUUCAAUGUCAACCGCUACGCGACUAUACGUCGAACGCAAGGAACUGGCGGAAGGUCUGACAAGGUCACUAUUCCACGCGUUCAUUUGACGCGCCGAAGGAGAAAGUUCGCUCAUGAAUAACGCGUCGAUUGCGUUAAAAAAAAUUAGUCGCGAUGUCAUUAUUUCGAACUUGAAAUUUUUUUCGCUCAAUCGCAAACAAUCGAGGGUUAUCAUUAGUGCUUUCACUGAACAUUUACAUUUUGCAUUUAAUAACCGAGAUGUUCUAUUCCUGCGAAAAACCGACGAGGGAAAAUGUUCGAGAGAACGGGAAGGGACACGAACACACGAUAGGAUGGAUAAGAGGGAAGGGAAAUGCGCGCCCACGUAUAAACGCGUAUAUCGUGCACGUAAGCCUGAAAACACGGUGGCGUUAGCGCUUGUUGACGCAGAUAAACCGUCGGCGUAAUGUUAUAUUUAUAGUCUUUUCUUGUUCGCGGCUCGCUUUUUUUUUCUUUAUUUCUUUCGAUUUUCAGAAUGAAUUUUUCGAAACUUUUAUGAUCUUUGUCAAGUUAUACUUGAAAAACGAUGAGAAAUACGUUUAAGAUAAGAAAAAUCCGGAAUUGAGAAAUCUAUUCAGAUAUGGCAUUUUCGUUGUUAUCGCAGUAUAGUCGAUAAUCGUUAAUUACUGGCGUGCUUUAUUUUCAAUUUUCAACAUUCUAUGCGUAUUCGGUAGAACUAAGGCGUCCAAUGGGAAUAACGAAAAUAAGAAUAAAGUUGGUGUGUUCGAUAAACCGCCAUCUUUCACUGGUGGAGGCCGUUUUACACGCGAACGUGAUCGCAAGACUAAAAAUUAGGGAGCGCGAAAGCGUGGGUUAAAAAAGGGGCGAUGAGAUCACGGUAGCUCGAGCUCGGUUCGCGUCGCAACCUUACUUCGCAAGCGGGUGCCGUUAAGCACGUCUGGGUCUAAAUAACCUCUGGUAUAUCGAACCGUGCCAGAGAAUCCGCGAGCGGAGGACCCGCGAGUGACCGUGCGCGUCGCCAGCCACGAAGGUCUCGCUCACAAUUGCGAUCUCGUUUUCUUGUUUAAUAACUAAAUCAGGAGGCAGGGAGACGAAACGCAGGAAAAAGAGAAAAAGCGAUGAAAGUUGCAAAAGAAAAGAGAAAAAAAAAAUGUUAAGAAAAUAUGAUUGAUAGGACAUAUCUUUAUACAUACGGUAUAAAGAUAUUAUAUAUAAAAUAUAUAAAAUACUUAUAUCUAUAUAUAUGCAUACAAGGGCGAUUGUGACAAAUACACGUGCGAACUCUCCUAAAAGUCGAAGCGAGUUAAAAAUAGGAACGUAGAGCGUAAAAAUAAGAAAGAAAAUGACAGAGAAUCGCGGAUAGGAAGUCGCACUUACGUCGACGUAAUGCGUACAUAAGCUUGAAAACAUGAUGGGUAGAGGUGUGGAACGUUUCCUCCCCUUCUCCUACGUACCCCUCGACGUACCGAUCUAGCAUCCCCCCGACAUCCUCACCGACCCUCUCAUCACCGAGGUGCGAGGUUGAGCGUAGAUCGAGGGAGUCUAACCAGCGGGUGGCCGAUAGGGGGUUGGGGGAGGGAGGUCGAAGAAGAGGGUGGACGACGAGGCUCUCGUCGCUGGGGUGAGGUGCGGCACGACGGUGGCGCGGCCGGCGGGUGGGUGAAGAGAAAGGGGAUUCGACCGGGGGAGACUAGUGGGAGGAGAAGGAGGAUAGGGCAGGCCGUUAUUUAGCCGGCCGCGCGCGCGUCCCUUCGCGACCGACCCAACUCAGCCGCGCCGCCCUUCACUCGCCCUCGAGCGCCGCUGUGUUCUGCCGCCCCCUCAUCGCUCACGCCCGACUCGACCACCUCUGCACCCUCCUUCCGCUCUCACCCUACUAUCCGACAGCCACCUCUAGCUCCCACACCCUUCGCGCGUUCGCCCUUUUCUCCCUAGCCAUCAACCUUCCCUCUUUGUUCCACCCGAUCCGUCCCUUCCUUUCUCCUACACAACUUCUUUUCUCCUUUUUUCCCCUUUUUUCUUUCUUUUCACUCUCUUUCCUUUUUUCCCCUCUUUUUUCUUCUAGCCAUCCCUACUUCUAUCUUCGUCGUUCUCGCUCGCUAGCGUCCAUCUAUUCGUCUCCGUUCCUAUUGCCCUCGUCUCUUCGGGACACGCGGUGGCGGCGGUACCGGCUCACGCGGCGGUUCUUCACGGUACCCUGACUCGCUAUCUCCGUUUAUCCAACUCAGACCCUCUUUGUCAGCUCCGUCGUCCUCGAUCGGUUGUCUCGCUCAAUCGCGGCCACUUUUUCUCGCUCGGUCUCUAUCUGUUCAUGGUGAGCGCGCCACGGUUCUACUACGGAAAACCUCGAGACUCGUUCGUCCACGGCGUGGCUCCGACGUUGGCCGUCCGUCGUUCGCCGAAAUCCCGUGCUAAUUAAAGCCCGCCUCGAUGCCCGUCGCCGACCGGGACGAGAGAGGCGUCGUCUCUCUCUCUCUCUCUCUCUUCCUCUAUUUCCUUUCAUUCUAACUGCUGUUCACCGCGUCUCCAUCUGUCCCAAUCUCUCUCUCCAUCUUCGUCCAACGCAUUCUAUCGGUGUUUUCAUCUCUCUCCGUCGACUUUUGCCGGCGUUCCCUCAUUCCGCUCAGCUCGAUCCGGCUGCCCCGCGCCACGCCGCCCGGCCUCUGCCUGUACUCGUCGCGCCGCGCUACGACCGCGCGCGCACCAAGGAGAAAAUUAAGAAGACUUCGGAGCCGGCUCCUUCAGUCCAUUGUGCCGCGUAUACACGACGAGGAGAGCCCGUCGUCCCCGCGUGUAACGGUACUCGCGCGGCAGACGACGACUCGAUGCCUCUUCUCUUUCCUUUUUUUCUUCUUUCCUCGGCUGCCGCUUCACUCUCCCCCUCGUCACCCUAACCGGCCCCUUCCCCGUUCUCCUGCGCUUCGCUCAGCUGUCUCUUUGUGUGUUGGACGCGGGUAUCGCGUGCACACACGGCCGAACGGCUGCUGUCUCGAUACGACGCGAUCGCUCGCGUACAAACACUAACCCAAAUGGUUUCACACGUAUAGACACGAUCGAGUGUCAGAUGGAUAUACAGAGUGGAAUAAAAAUAACGCAACUCUUUUAGAUCAAAAAUAAUAGCAAUAAUCACUGAAUGAAUUGUAACUAUGUUGCGCUUGCGAUCAAUCAUAUAUAUAUAUCUCUUUUAAUAAUUGCCAUCAAUCGACACUUACAUAAUUGGCUGUAAUCAAUAAGUCACACGUUUUUUCCUAUCAAAUUGAAUUUUGCACGGUCCUUGAAAAACAAAUAUACUUGUGACUUUACUACAAUUUGAAUACAAAUAUAUACAAGUAUUUCUAUCAUUCCCUAUCAGAGAUGCAUAUCUUUUCCUUUGAAAAAAAAUUCUCUUUUCUCAUCACAGGAGGGAAACAUUGAUUCUCAGGAUAUAUAAAAUCUUUCCUUACUUCUCGUCUCACCCUAUAGACACGUAGAAGAACACAACUAAGCGCGAGGCGCCCGCCGAGAUAAACUCGUGCUCUGCCUUUUAUCUAGAUACAUUCCUCGCGCCUCCUCUCGCGAGACCGCGCUCUCCACUCUCCUCUCCACCUCCCUCCCCUCAUACCGAGCGGGCGUCGUCGUCGUCGUCGCCGGUUGUCGCGGUAUCGCGACCCGUACCCGGGAGGGGAUGUUCUCGAUGCGUAUAUCCCGGCAGCGGCACUCUGUCGCCGGACGAACGAUACGGAACAACCGGCAACGUCAACGACGACGGCAACGACGACGAUGACGACGAUGACGGGGACGACGACGACGACGAUGUGGAUGGAUCGACGAUAGGAAUUGUAGAUACGCGGUCAGCGUUUGCCUCGUCCGCCAGAGUUUAUCUGCGACGCACGAGCUUUCUUCCUGUUAGCCGGCUACGAUUCGAUUAAACGCGGCCUUCGUGGGUUUUUCCGCUGAGCUAGGCCUCUUUAAUUCGCGUGUGCCCGCGCGCUAUAACUGGUCACGCUUUCGCACCAUCGAUGACGCACCGAUGUUUCUUCUCGAUUACGAUUACAUACAUUUCAUGCUAAUAAUUUUAUUGUUCCAAUCGAAAAAGUCGAUAUUACGGAGAGAUUUAGAUCAUAUGUCGUAUUGUAUUAAAUAGGAGGAUAAUUUUUAUUUUUCGAAAAUUAAGAAAUAUUAAGUAUAUGUAUUAUUGAUAACGUAAUAUUGAUGUUUGAAUUGACGUAAUACGAUUUGAAAGAUGUAUUAAUAUAGUGUUGAAUUGUUUGUAUAUAUGUUUUAUAGUUUUGCUAAUACUCGAAUGAUCGAGUACUAUUGAUUAAUUUUGGUGGAUAAGGAUAACGAGGUUGAGUAAAGUGAUAUCGGUGCUCGUGAAGGAAUGCCGUUGAACGCGUGCGCUAAUUAAAUAUAAGUAUACUAUUUGCCCGCGAAAGUGUUAACUCUCUAAUAAUUAUCGUGUCAUUUUAUUUGGCUCUUAUAUUAUUAAAUAUUAUAUAUGUAUCAGACUAUUAAAGUCAAAUGAUCUUUUUAGCAAUUAUUACAUCUCAUAUUUCAAAUUAAACCGAAAUACUGGCUAUAAAUUAUAUUUUUAUCGUAAGUAAACAAAUAUCAAUCUCAAUGUAUACACUCCUCUCGUAAUAUCGUUUGUUCAGAUAGGAUGCGAAUCUGUACAAGAAUAAAACUUUCGAAACGCAGUUUUAAGAAUUAGACUCUUAACAUCCAUUGAUGAUUAAUUAUCAUCGAAAGCAAGAAUCUUACUCUCAAAUAUAUAUUCAUAUUUUUACAAUUGCAUUCGAAUCGAUAGAAGUACAAGAAACAUGGGACGAAUGCGCGGAAUUUAUCUUUCAUUUCCUUCUUUCUAUAUCUUCCCUCCUUUACCUCAUUUCACCAAAAAUUUCCAUCACGAUUUCUCCUUUGCCUCCGUGUCCCUGUAUGCAGAGGUAUUCCGCCGAAAAAGCGGCGUGGCGCAUUCGUCGGCCACUCUUUCGAGCGUUCUUUCUCUCACUUAACCGUGCACACUCCCCUCGGCCGGUAUUAAACGGGGCUCGACCGUGGAAUCGCGUACGAGGCCACUCGUCUUGUUUGCCGCGCUUUAUACCUGCCUUUGGUCGCCGUGCCGUCCUCCUUUUUCCCCUCCACCCUCCGCGGAAUCGAACCCACCAUAAUUACUCGGCAUCAUUUUUGUUCGGAUUAUUUACGCUGUUUAGCGAACCGUCACGGGAAUCGUAGUCGAAUCGAAAGCGUUGGAUCGGUUAGAAAAGACGACAGAGGUAAAAAGAUUCGAUUUGGAAGGGAAUGGGGAGAAGAGGGUUGGGCUUGACGACGUUUCCGCUUCCGUGUUGGACACGCGAGGGAAGCGAAGAAACUCGUUUCGAUUUCGUAUUUCGAUGCGAUAAAACUUGCUACUUUUCUGUCGAGUUUUCUGAUAAAUUGAUGUCGUUAAUAGUUUUAUAUAUAUAUUAUUCUCAUAUAUAGAUAUCGUAAAGUGUGUAUAAAACGGAAGAUAUAUGUAUGUAUAACAUUAGAAUUAAAAUGAUUGCUUAAUUAAUGGCAAUUAAUUUUAAAAUCGAUCAAUUUUUACAAAAUAUUUUUUUCGUUAAUUCUUAUUUAUUUUUAAAAUGUUAUAUACAAAGUUUGUCACGAGUGUAUAUCUAUCUACUUAAAACAUGUAUACACGUGAAAGCACAAAUUUAAGGAUCGUAUUCUAUCCAAUGUCAUAUAAACACACGUCCGGAAGUGGUUUCCAAGAUACAAACAGUGUUCGUUUACUUGCCAAGUUGAAGGAAUUACCAAAAGUGAUUUUCUGCUGUGUACGUUGACUACAGUUGAGUCAUCUGAUCAUAAAUAUUGAGAGUAUUUACUACUAGUCCGAAAAACGUUGCGGUUUUAAAUCUUUAAAUUUCAAACUCUGUAAAUAUAAGUGUUCAAAAGAAAGAAAGAAAAAGAGAGUAAAAGAGAAUAUAUGAUAAAAAUAAAUUUAUAUUUGCUUAAUAAUAAAAAAAAAAAGAUAAGAUAAUUUUUAAAAGCUAAGAAAUUGAAAGAAUCGUACAACCAGAAUCGCUCGUUCGUCCGCGACCUUGCGACUUUACGACCGUUUCCACGCGGAUCGACCUUCCUCUCUCGCCAGCUCGGAAGCCCCGACCAUUCUGGAAUUCCAAUUAAUCUCGCGUCGUUACGCGUUAAGUACGCGACCACCGAACUACGUUAUCGGCACGGGAAUAAAAACCACGGCCGGUGUAAAUUAACCGAACGAUUCGCCAAGAGACCCUCAUCCGUCGAAUAAUUGGCGAAUGCGAUUAGAUGGAAGAGAAGGGAGGGAGGAAGGGAGAGUAUGGAUCAGUUGGACUCGAUGCAGACGAAGGACACGAUGUCCUUGCGAUUCUGCGACUUGGUAAACCUUAGUUUAGAUUUAUUUUCCACGGCAUAGAUUUAUUUUCGUUAUAUUGGUUAUACGAAGUGCUUAAACUUUCGUGCGCGUAUUAAUAAAAAUUGUUUUGCUUUACAUAGGAAAUAAACUCGUACGUCGUUUAUAUCCUUACGCUUAGGGGAUUGACUAUCAGGGGGAGACUAUCCCCAGGAUGUGAAAUUUCGAUUUAAUUUCGGGGGUGCACUCGAUGUACGAAAAGAUUGAAUCGAGUGUUUAUUGGCGAUAAAUGUUUGCUCUUCAGAGGAUAUCGUAUAUCGGUUAUAAUCUUUCGAAAUUAACCGCGUUUUGUAAUGGAAUUAUUUCUGAUUCCCAAACUCGAUCCAUCCCCAUUUUUCAAUAAAGUUGAGCUAUCUUUUUUAAACAUAUUUCAUCUGUAAAAUUUUUAUCGAGACAAUUUUUUCAGAUAACUUCGAUCAAACUUUUUCCAAAAUCUCUAAUUUCGUUUUGAAUACGCUAGUGAUUUCAAAGUUACGGCAGAUGGUGUAACGCAGAUAAAGGAGCGUGGCCCUAAAGGCGAGCGGGUACGUCGUUGCCCGUUUCUCUCGCGUGAAAUUUAAAGGCGGUCGCCUCUCCUCUCGGCCGUGGCGUUCGCGAGAAGGGACUGGGGGCCCUCGAUCGAUCGGUGCCCGCAUAGUCGCGAGCGUGUAGAGGCGGUUGUUUGUCGGCUGGACGGCCACCGUUGCCCGCCAUCGACGUCGUCUGGUGAAACCUCACCACCGACCUCGCCUACUAUACCGUUCCCUUUGGACAAACUUUUUAUUGCCGGAUUUUCCCUGUAAUCUCGAAUAAUUAACGACGAACCCCCUUGUACAACUAUGGGUUUACCGAGGUCGGUGGAAGACUCGACCUAUGAGAAGAGUAAGAACAAGAAGAAGAAGAAGAAAGAGAGAGAAAAAAAAGAGGAGAGGUAUCCACGUAGGUCGUGGCAGUCUUUGGGUAUAGCGGUAAGACGACGUCCGACCACGCCACAGAAGAGACUUCCCUUGUCCCUCAUUCGACUUCCAACCCUCCCUCCCUCUUUUUUUCCCCUCUCUUUUUCUUUCUCCUCUAUGACCGUCCUGUUCGAUCCUUCCGAGAAAACAGCUCUCCGCGCGCUUCGCCUACUACCUACACCCGUUUUCCUCCUGGCCGUCGACUUAACGGCCGCACCUGCUACCACCUCGCCUCGUUUCGACGAGCGCCGCGCGAAUUUCUUCCCUUCGACGUGCCCUCCCAAGCCGGAGGAGACCGUAUUUCCGCUCGGCGAGCGCGCUUCCCUUUUAGACAAACUGGAAAUCCUUUGCUGCGACCCGGCUCUGGGGAUGCCCGCUUUUAACAUCGAUGAACACCGGGAUCGUAAUCCGCAAUCUAAACGCAAUGGAAACUCGAAGAAGAGGAAGAAGAGGAGCAAGAAGAAGAAGAAGAAGAAGAGGAAUAGUGAUCGAGUGGCUCGAGGAAGGACGCACCCCGAUAUAAAUCGAGAAGGACACCGGUUGGCGUUACGUAAUCGACGAUGGCGAAGGCGGCUCGCGUUCUCUUUAUCCUUUUCCUCCAACCGAGGCUGGCCGCCUUCGUCGCGCUCUCUCUCGCUCUUUCUCUACUCCCUUCUCGAGUACAGAUCGCAUUUUCAAGUUACGCCGAAUGCUUGCGCGUCUACGCCGCCGUCGUUGUUCCUUUUUCCUCGUGAAUAAGCGGAUAUAUUGCAUAAGGUUGGCGAGCAACUACCUGUCGUACGCUCCAGAGAUGUUAUAUUUAACCAUGCGGACCCAUCACCACGACCUCUCUCUACGGUCGUACUUUUUCCCUUAACCGCCUCGCGAGACCGUUCGCCUUCUAAUUUUAGAGGUUUUCGAUUAUGUAAUGCGCGUGUCGUUACCGAACUAGAAGAGGGGUAUCGUGUGUACAGGCAACCAUCCGUGGAAUUGCAAUCGAGCAUCCGUUCGAUUUUCUACCGUUGUAUCCCGGCCUUUGUUUAACCUUUUAAAUUAGAAUUCGUAAUUCAAAAGUAGAAUUCGAAUUCAAUAAACGUUUAUUGAAAUUUUUGCUACCGAUUGAUCGCUCUUUUUCUUUCUCCUUCAAAAAUGUAUAUUAAAUUUUUUUUCGGAUAUGUAAUAUAGUAAAAAUUUCACCCUUUCGGGAUCAAAAUCAUUAAAUUUAUACAAAUAUUUUUCCAUAAACUUCUGUUAAUUAUUAUAAAAUGGGGAUUCGUGUCGAUUAAUGGAUUCAAAGUCAACAAAUGUCUAUAUAACAUCAGUUAAAAGAUCCAUCGACUAUGUUUAUUAAACGAAUCAUUAAGUCACGCAAUAGAAGCAACUUAAUCCACCAUAUUCGUCUGUCCCUUUAUGUUUGCACAUAGGGUGCGUCACACAGAGAGAACGAUCGCAAUAUACCUUCAGGCAAUAAUCACACCUUGGCUACCCUCGAAUCUCUAACUUUGUAUUUAUGAUCAAUCUCGUUAAAGAAGAUAGGAAACAUUGCUCUUCUUAAUUAAUAUAUUCUACCUUUUUAUUUUUUUAUAAAAAUAAAAUAUACAGAAGUAUUUUAAUUUCUAAUUUAUUUCUUUUUUUUUUAAUAAGCAACAUUUCGAAAAAAAAAAAUAAUGUAAAGUUCGAUUCGAAAUUCUAAAUAAAUCUUUUUUUGAUUAAAAAAUGCGAAAUGCCUUUAUUAACAACACCCUUUCCACCCCUGCUCAAACUCGAUCGUCUGACGAACGAGAAUAUAUAUGCAAUCUAUUUUCGCGAAUUCACGUCAGCGCGACGCUGAAACUGCGUCACUACGGGAUUUCCUGACAUUAAGACUCGAUCCCUGGCUUCCCAGGAACUGGUCAAGCGAUGCAAACGCCAUCACGUUUGCGAAAAAUUAAUAAACCCCGCAGAUUCGCGAAAUCUCUAGAGAAUAAUAUCCGAAGGAUUCGAAGAGAGAGAAAAAAAGAACGAAGAGAGAGAUGGAAAAUUCGGACAGAAAAUUUUUAUCGAAAAACGCUAGAUGUACGACGUUGACGAAAACGAUAG